rnacentral:rRNA from 1 species
GUGACCCCAGGAUGGGCGAGGCCACCCGCCAAGUUUAAGCAUAUCAAUMAGAGAGGAGAAGAAANAUACGANGAUUCCCCUGAUUCCCGC